rnacentral:tRNA from 1 species
UAGAAAGAAGCUCGUAGGUUUGAGCGUUUAGCUGUUAACUAAAAUGUUAUGGGAUCGAAGCCCAUCUUUCUAG